CCUGUCAAGAUGCUCUCCCAAGUGCAGCUUCUCUGGAUACUAGUGCUUUGGAUUCAGGACUCCUAUGGCCAGAUUGUGCUGACCCAGACUCCAGAAUCCCUGGCAGCGUCUCCUGGAGACAGAGUCACCAUCAACUGCAAAGCCAGUACCGGCAUUAGCAACUACUUAGGCUGGUACCAACAGAAACCAGGACAAGCACCUAAGCUGCUUAUCUACGAUUCUACUAACCGUCCCUCCGGGAUCCCAGCCCGGUUCAGUGGCAGUGGGUCUGGAACUGAUUUCACUCUCACAAUCAACAGCUUAGAAACUGAAGAUGCUGGAGAUUAUUACUGCCAGCAACGCCAGAGCUUGCCGUAG